rnacentral:rRNA from 1 species
CGCGUAGGCGGGCUGGACAGUCCGGGGUGAAAUCUUUCGGCUUAACCGGAAAAGGGCCUUGGAUACUGCCAGUCUCGAGGGAGGUAGGGGCAUGUGGAACUGCGGGUGGAGCGGUGAAAUGCGUUGAUAUCCGCAGGAACGCCGGUGGCGAAAGCGACGUGCUGGAUCUCUACUGACGCUGAGGCGCGAAAGCCAGGGGAGCGAACG